GGACAGUAUGUCAUAUAUGCAUGAACUUGAUUGAUGUAUUGAUGUAUAAUGAACUGAAGAUAUAAUGAAUUCAAUCAGGUUAAAAAAAAUGUAUGUGCAAAAGCGACUCGAAGACGAUUUAGAUUUGUCUCCUGAAUAUAAAACUUCCAAGAAGUACAUCAUAUAUGAAUAUCCUGUAUCCUCGCAUUUGAUGUAAUGAACUGGCGAUAGAAUGAAAUCAGUCAGUGUUAAAAAUGUAUGUGUAAAAGCGACUUUAAGAUGAUGGAGAUUUGUACACUGAACAUAAAACUUCCAAAAUUUGGGGCA